AUGGCCUCUGGCCUGGACUUCCUGGCAACCCCAGCGCCCGUACAAGACAAGGAGGAGGGUCCCGUCACCCAUGGGCAGCGCCCUGGUCACCGGGCUAGGAGAAGACGUGACGGUGGAGGGUGUCGCGGCGCAGGAUCGCGCCGUCGCCUCCGGGCGGCCGCGCAACGGACAAGUUCCCAGCGUCCCGAUAAGCUUGAGAAGACGACGAGGAUGAUUCCGUCGCUCACGAGGAGGAGGGCGCCGAGGGGCUAG
rnacentral:rRNA from 1 species